UACGGGGGAGCAAGCGUUGUUCGGAUUUACUGGGCGUAAAGGGCGCGUAGGUGGCCUGUGGAAGUCUGCGGUGAAAGCCCGGCGCUCAACGCCGGGUCGGCCGUGGAUACUCUCGGGCUUGAGCUUACUAGAGGCAGAUGGAAUUCCGGGUGUAGCGGUGGAAUGCGUAGAGAUCCGGAAGAACACCGGUGGCGAAGGCGGUCUGCUGGG
rnacentral:rRNA from 1 species